ACUAAUUGACUUUGAAACUGCGAAUGGCUCAUUAUAUCAGUUAUAGUUUAUUUGGUGAAGGAUACUAAUUGGAUAACCGUAGUAAUUCUAGGGCUAAUACAUGAGUAAAGUCCCGUUGGGAUGUGUUUAUUAGAAUGAAAACCAUAUGCUUCGGCAUGAUAGUGAGUAAUAGUAACCUAUCGUAUCGCAUGCUUAAUGUAGCGAUGAGUCUUUCAAGUUUCUGCCCUAUCAGCUU
rnacentral:rRNA from 1 species